AUGCCUAAUGAUAAAGCUAUUAAUAUUUCAUCAUAGUUACCUUAAUUUAAUUAUCAAAAUGGAACUAUGAUAUAAU
ncrna:unclassified sequences dfrA-dnaX RNA